rnacentral:rRNA from 1 species
UACGUAGGCAGCAAGCGUUGUUCGGAGUUACUGGGCGUAAAGGGUGCGUAGGCGGCUUUUUAAGUCUGGUGUGAAAUCUCCUGGCUCAACUGGGAGGGUGCGCCGGAUACUGAGGGGCUAGAGUGUGGGAGAGGAAAGUGGAAUUCCUGGUGUAGCGGUGAAAUGCGUAGAUAUCAGGAGGAACACCGGUGGUGUAAACGGCUUUCUGGACCAUAACUGACGCUGAGGCACGAAAGCGUGGGUAGCAAACAGG